rnacentral:rRNA from 1 species
AGUGAACGCUGGCGGCGUGCUUAACACAUGCAAGUCGAACGAGAACGGGUUAUAGCUUGCUAUAAUUGUCAGCUAAGUGGCGCACGGGUGAGUAAUGUAUAGGUAAUAUGCCUCUUACUAAGGGAUAACAAAUGGAAACGUUUGCUAAUACCUUAUACUCCUUAUUAACAGAAGUUAAUAAGGGAAAGAUUUAUUGGUAAGAGAUUAGCCUGUAUUGUAUCAGUUAGUUGGUGGGGUAAUGGCUUACCAAGACUAUGACACAUAACUGGUUUGAGAGGAUGAUCAGUCACGCUGGAACUGUGACACGGUCCAGACUCCUACGGGAGGCAGCAGUGGGGAAUAUUGCACAAUGGACGAAAGUCUGAUGCAGCAACGCCGCGUGGAGGAUGACACAUUUCGGCGCGUAAACUCCUUUUAUAUGAGAAGAUAAUGACGGUAUUAUAUGAAUAAGCACCGGCUAACUCCGUGCCAGCCGCCGCGGUAA